rnacentral:rRNA from 1 species
AGUGAACGCUGGCGGUAGGCCUAACACAUGCAAGUCGAACGGUAGCACAGUAAGAGCUUGCUCUUACGGGUGGCGAGUGGCGGACGGGUGAGGAAUACAUCGGAAUCUACUUUUUCGUGGGGGAUAACGUAGGGAAACUUACGCUAAUACCGCAUACGACCUACGGGUGAAAGCAGGGGAUCUUCGGACCUUGCGCGAUUGAAUGAGCCGAUGUCGGAUUAGCUAGUUGGCGGGGUAAAGGCCCACCACGGCGACGAUCCGUAGCUGGUCUGAGAGGAUGAUCAGCCACACUAGAACUGGGACACGGUCCAGGCUCCUACGGGAGGCAGCAGUGGGGAAUAUUGGACAGUAGGCGCAAGCCUGAUCCAGCCAUACCGCGUGGGUGAAGAAGGCCUUCGGGUUGUAAAGCCCUUUUGUUGGGAGAGAAAAUCAGCAGGUUAAUACCCCGCUGUUCUGACGGUACCCAAAGAAUAAGCACCGGCUAACUUCGUG